CUGGUGGCGAGUGGAACGGGUGAGUAAUAUAUCGGAACAUACCCAGUAUGGGGGAUAACUAUCCGAAAGGAUAGCUAAUACCGCAUACGAUCUGUGGAUGAAAGCAGGGGAUCUUCGGACCUUGUGCUAUUGGAAUGGCCGAUAUCUGAUUAGCUAGUUGGUAGGGUAAAAGCCUACCAAGGCGACGAUCAGUAGCUGGUCUGAGAGGACGACCAGCCACACUGGAACUGAGACACGGUCCAGACUCCUACGGGAGGCAGCAGUGGGGAAUUUUGGGCAAUGGGGGCAACCCCUGAUCCAGCAAUGCCGCGUGAGUGAAGAAGGCCCUCGGGUUGUAAAGCUCUUUUGUCAGGGAAGAAACGGAGUUCUCUAAUAUAGGAUUCUAAUGACGGUACCUGAAGAAUAAGCACCGGCUAACUACGUGCCAGCAGCCGCGGUAAUACGUAGGGUGCAAGCGUUAAUCGGAAUUACUGGGCGUAAAGCGUGCGCAGGCGGUUUUGUAAGUCUGAUGUGAAAUCCCCGGGCUCAACCUGGGAACUGCAUUGGAGACUGCAAGGCUAGAGUGUGUCAGAGGGGGGUAGAAUUCCACGUGUAGCAGUGAAAUGCGUAGAGAUGUGGAGGAAUACCGAUGGCGAAGGC
rnacentral:rRNA from 1 species